UACAGAGGGGGCAAGCGUUAUUCGGAAUUAUUGGGCGUAAAGGGCGCGUAGGCGGCUUGGCAAGUGGAAGGUGAAAUCCCUCGGCUUAACCGAGGAACUGCCCGCCAAACUGCUUUGCUUGAGGCCGGGAGAGGUGAGUGGAAUUCCCAGUGUAGCGGUGAAAUGCGUAGAUAUUGGGAGGAACACCAGUGGCGAAGGCGGCUCACUGGACCGGUUCUGACGCUGAGGCGCGAAAGCGUGGAGAGCAAACGGG
rnacentral:rRNA from 1 species